CACUACGCAAUUGCAUGCACUGUAUUACUAGCUAAAUGACAUGCAAUGAAGAGAUCAAUAAACCAUGUGUACAAACAAUGAAAAUAACAACUUGAACCUUUUUUUUUUUUUUUGGAAUUAAGGAAAUCCAAAUAUUACAAAUUCGUACUUUCGAUACAUGUGAAAUAGCAAAGCAAAGGGUCAAACACUAUUUAAAAACCUAAGCACUUGAAAUAAGUGUGGUAAAAGUGGAAUUUAAUGAAGUUAAAGGGAUCCAAUCAAGUGGGAUUUAAAACAUAUUAGGAUAACAACAACACAUAAGAAAUAAUUGUUACACUUUUAAUUGAAAUAGGAGUAUACACAAAGAUAGAUAAAAAUAGUGACUCCCCGUAGCCCAAUUGGCCUGAUUUGCUGAAGUAAUGGCCUUUGAUGUAUGAAGUACACGUACAAUCCACUCUCUAAAAUAAGCCCCGAUGACUUGUUAUCCCUUAUUGUUCUGUUAACUCCACUAUAAGAAAAAUGGGUAGUUGCUACAGAUGAAGAAGCACUACCAGGGGCAAUGGUUGUAACCAUAGAGAAAAGAAACAACUCCAAUUGCUAGUUUUGAAGCAGGUGCACUAGAAACUGAUGUGCUAAAGAUGACGCAGAGUUGGAAGAUAUAGGAAAUGAAAUACUGGCCUUGAAGUAGAGCCAGAGUCAGAGCCCGUAGUAAAUGCCGUGAAGAACGAAAUUCCAAGGGCAAAAGCAAUAGAGGUUGAAGAAUGGGGAAAUGAAAUUGCAAGUGCAGAAGAAGUUAGGUUUCAUGUAUUGGUAGGAACGACGACUAAUUGAGGCAGCUGCAACUGGAAGGUAGUAGAAUAGAUACAACGAGGACUAGUAGGCAGCUAAAUGAUUGGCGGUGGGUGUUGUAGCAAUGACAGAAGCAAAUGGAAUAGCAGCAGACAGUGAGUGUUUUCGUCCAACCAUAAGCAAAGGAGGUGGGUUUUGGAUGGAAAACGUUUGGACUGCUAGUAAUGAAUGUUGGGAAUAAAAGUUAGGAGAAAUCGAAUUUUUGGAUAUGGACGUUUGGGAGUGGCCAGU
rnacentral:lncRNA from 1 species